UACGUAGGGGGCAAGCGUUGUCCGGAAUCAUUGGGCGUAAAGAGCGUGUAGGCGGCCCGGUAAGUCCGCUGUGAAAGUCCAGGGCUCAACCCUGGGAUGCCGGUGGAUACUGCCGGGCUAGAGUCCGGAAGAGGCGAGUGGAAUUCCUGGUGUAGCGGUGAAAUGCGCAGAUAUCAGGAGGAACACCAAUGGCGAAGGCAGCUCGCUGGGACGGUACUGACGCUGAGGCGCGAAAGCGUGGGGAGCAAACAGG
rnacentral:rRNA from 1 species